CAGUACUCUAGCUUGGGGAGUGAACUUUCCUGCUCACCUGGUGGUUGUCAAAGGAACCGAAUACUAUGAUGGGAAAUCCAAGCGCUAUGUGGACUACCCCAUUACAGAUGUUUUGCAGAUGAUGGGGAGAGCCGGUCGUCCUCAGUUUGAUGACCAAGGCAAAGCUGUUAUUCUGGUCCAUGACAUCAAGAAGGAUUUCUACAAGAAGUUCCUCUACGAACCUUUCCCUGUUGAAUCAAGCCUCCUCAACAUGCUGUCAGACCAUUUGAAUGCUGAAGU